AACUAAGCAUAUCAAUAAGCGGAGGAAUAGAAACUAACAAGGAUUCCCAUAGUAACUGCGAGUGAAGCGGGAAAAGCUCAAAUUUAAAAUCUGGCGGUCUCUGGCCGUCCGAGUUGUAAUCUAGAGAAGUAAUGCCCGUGCUGGACCGUGUAUAAGUCUCCUGGGAUGGGGCGUCAUAGAGGGUGAGAAUCCCGUCUUUGACACGGACUACCAGUGCAUUGUGGUAUGCUCUCAAAGAGUCGAGUUGUUUGGGAAUGCAGCUCAAAAUGGGUGGUAAAUUCCAUCUAAAGCUAAAUAUUGGCGAGAGACCGAUAGCGAACAAGUACCGUGAGGGAAAGAUGAAAAGAACUUUGGAAAGAGAGUUAAACAGUACGUGAAAUUGCUGAAAGGGAAACGCUUGAAGUCAGUCGCGUUGGCCGGGGAUCAGCCUUGCUUUUGCAUGGUGUACUUUCUGGUUGACGGGUCAGCAUCAAUUUUGACCGCUGGAAAAAGACCUGGGGAAUGUGGCAGCUUCGGCUGUGUUAUAGCCCCUAGUCGCAUACAGUGGUUGGGAUUGAGGAACUCAGCACGCCGCAAGGCCGGGUUUCGACCACGUUCGUGCUUAGGAUGCUGGCAUAAUGGCUUUAAGCGACCCGUCUUGAAACACGGACCAAGGAGUCUAACAUGCCUGCGAGUAUUUGGGUGGAAAACCCAAGUGCGUAAUGAAAGUGAAAGUUGAGAUCCCUGUCGUGGGGAGCAUCGACGCCCGGACCAGAACUUUUGGGACGGAUCCGCGGUGGAGCAUGUAUGUUGGGACCCGAAAGAUGGUGAACUAUGCCUGAAUAGGGUGAAGCCAGAGGAAACUCUGGUGGAGGCUCGUAGCGAUUCUGACGUGCAAAUCGAUCGUCAAAUUUGGGUAUAGGGGCGAAAGACUAAUCGAACCAUCUAGUAGCUGGGUCCUGCCGAGUUUCCCUCAGAA
rnacentral:rRNA from 1 species